AUUGAACGCUGGCGGCAGGCCUAACACAUGCAAGUCGAGCGAGCGGCGGACGGGUGAGUAAUGUAUGGGGACUGCCCGAUAGAGGGGGAUAACUACUGGAAACGGUGGCUAAUACCGCAUACUAUCGGAUAACCCAUAUGGGAUUAGCUAGUAGGUGGGGUAAAGCCUCACCUAGGCGACGAUCUCUAGCUGGUCUGAGAGGAUGAUCGGCGACACUGGGACUGAGACACGGCCCAGACUCGUACGGAGGCAGCAGGAGGGAAUAUUUGACAAUGGGCGCAAGUCUGAUCGAGCCACGCCGCGUGGAUGAAGAAGGCCUUAGGGUGGUAAAGUACUGUCAUCGGAGAAGCGUUACCCGCAGAGGAAGCACCGGCUAACUCCGUGCCAGCAGCCGCGGUAAUUC
rnacentral:rRNA from 1 species